rnacentral:ncRNA from 1 species
UGAAUCCUUUGCAGACGACUUGAAUGGGAACGGGGUACUGUAAGCAGUAGAGUAGCCUUGUUGCUACGAUCUGCUGAGGUUAAGCCCUUGUUCUAUAGAUUU